rnacentral:rRNA from 1 species
AACGAACGCUGGCGGCAUGCCUAACACAUGCAAGUCGAACGAGACCUUCGGGUCUAGUGGCGCACGGGUGCGUAACGCGUGGGAACCUGCCCUUAGGUUCGGAAUAACUCCCCGAAAGGGGUGCUAAUACCGGAUAAUGUCUUCGGACCAAAGAUUUAUCGCCUUUGGAUGGGCCCGCGUUGGAUUAGCUAGUUGGUAGUGUAAAAGCCUACCAAGGCGACGAUCCAUAGCUGGUCUGAGAGGAUGAUUAGCCACACUGGGACUGAGACACGGCCCAGACUCCUACGGAAGGCAGCAGUAGAGAAUAUUGUACAAUGAGCGAAAACCUGAUCCAGCAAUGCCGCGUGAGUCAUGAAUGCCUUAGUGUUGUAAAGCUCUUUUACCCGGGAUGAUAAUGACAGUACCGGGAGAAUAAGCACCGGCUAACUCCGUG